rnacentral:rRNA from 1 species
AGUUCGGUCCAUAUCCGGUAUACGCGCAAGAGAUUUGAGUGGAGUCUUCCUUAGUACGAGAGGACCGGGAAGAGGGGACCUCCAGUGUAUGGGUUAUCCUGCCAAGGGUAAACGCCCAGUAGCUGUGUUCCAAGCGGAUAAGUGCUGAAAGCAUAUAAGUACGAAGCCCACCGUAAGAUGAGAUCUCUCAUAGCAUAAGCUAGUAAGCCCCGUUGCAGAUUACAACGUUGAUAGGUCGCAGGUGUAAGAGUGGCAACAUUUUCAGCCGACUGAUACUAAUAGGACGAGGGCUUUUCCUA